rnacentral:rRNA from 1 species
GAUGAACGCUGGCGGCGUGCCUAAUACAUGCAAGUCGAGCGAACGGACGAGAAGCUUGCUUCUCUGAUGUUAGCGGCGGACGGGUGAGUAACACGUGGAUAACCUACCUAUAAGACUGGGAUAACUUCGGGAAACCGGAGCUAAUACCGGAGGAUAUUUUGAACCGCAUGGUUCAAAAGUGAAAGACGGUCUUGCUGUCACUUAUAGAUGGAUCCGCGCUGCAUUAGCUAGUUGGUAAGGUAACGGCUUACCAAGGCAACGAUGCGUAGCCGACCUGAGAGGGUGAUCGCCCACACUGGAACUGAGACACCGUCCAGACGCCUACGGGAGGCAGCAGUAGGGAAUCUGCCGCAAUGGGCGAAAGCCUGACGGAGCAACGCCGCGUGAGUGAUGAAGGUCUUCGGAUCGUAAUACUCUGUUAUUAGGGAAGAACAUAUGUGUAAGUAACUGUGCACAUCUUGACGGUACCUAAUCAGAAAGCCACGGCUAACUACGUG